rnacentral:rRNA from 1 species
GACGAACCGUGCGAACGUUGUUCGGAAUCACUGGGUUUAAAGGGCGCGUAGGCGGGCUGUCAAGUCGGUGGUGAAAUCGUUCCGCUCAACGCGACAAUGGCCUUCGAUACUGGCGGUCUGGAGGGAGGUAGGGGCAUGCGGAACUUCCGGUGGAGCGGUGAAAUGCGUAGAUAUCGGAAGGAACACCGAUGGCGAAAGCAGCGUGCUGGACCUUUUCUGACGCUGAGGCGCGAAAGCCAGGGGAGCAAACGGG